rnacentral:rRNA from 1 species
GAUGAACGCUGGCGGCGUGCUUAACACAUGCAAGUCGAACGGAAAGGCCCAAGCUUGCUUGGGUACUCGAGUGGCGAACGGGUGAGUAACACGUGGGUGAUCUGCCCUGCACUUCGGGAUAAGCCUGGGAAACUGGGUCUAAUACUGGAUAGGACCACUUCUUGGAUGGUGUGGUGGAAAGUUUUUUCGGUGUGGGAUGAGCUCGCGGCCUAUCAGCUUGUUGGUGGGGUAAUGGCCUACCAAGGCGUCGACGGGUAGCCGGCCUGAGAGGGUGUACGGCCACAUUGGGACUGAGAGACGGCCCAGACUCCUACGGGGGGCAGCAGUGGGGAAUAUUGCACAAUGGGCGCAAGCCUGAUGCAGCGACGCCGCGUGGGGGAUGACGGCCUUCGGGUUGUAAACUCCUUUCGCUAGGGACGAAGCGUUUUUGUGACGGUACCUGGAGAAGAAGCACCGGCUAACUACGUG